rnacentral:lncRNA from 1 species
UAGCCGACUUUCAGUUGCCCCUCACCGCCUUCCCACACCACUCAGGAGUUCCUCGCGCCAAGUAUUUACUCAAGAGUGACUAAGUGCACGCAGUUCACAAAGUAACAACAGAAAACGUCCACGUUUUCCCUGGUAGAUCAGAACAUCUGCCGCUUCCCCUCAGCUUUCUUCAGAUUGCUCCUAGGUGCUUUAGAGAUGCGUUUUCAAAUUACACGUUGAGAUCCAGGAGUGAAUACUCAAAUCUAUUGAGUCGUGAGCACAUUUCUGUCCCAAAUAAAAUAGUAACGAUAUGUCCUGAUUGGAUAAUAAACUGUGUGAUCAACCUACUUCCCGCUCUCAAAGAUAGGAUUCUGUACAGCCCUCUGAAAGGGUCCAGAAGUGCUCUGGAGCCAGAGUGCCCUGAGGCCAUUGCUAUAGCACAUCCAGCGUGGUGAUCAUCAGUUAGCAGACGGUAUCUACACAUACAGAGGAGCCCAGAGGGGCUGCCUGCACAGGUGAGUCAUCCCUAAGGGGAGUGGGGAUGGGGAUGGGCAUCUUCUAGUAAA